GCUGGAAGUUGGACUGAGUAAAGACAUAGACGUAAACAUGAAAUCAGCUGCCCUACACCUAAGAUGUACACGGUAACAGCUGACAGGGGAAAACUGAAAUCUCUACUACAACACUUGGAUAAUGCCACUUGCGCUAUAUUGUGUUGUACUCCUUGAUCUUCCUGCUGAUGAGGUCAUGGCUGGUAAAGGCUGCAUUCUGACAGAGGAAAUGAAACAAGACACGGGGAUAAGUUAGUGCAACACAAGGUUGCUGUUGUCCUGGAUGACUCUAAUCCACUCCAGCAUGUCCUCCCGGUCCUCCGCCUGGAACAGGUACUCGCAGUCCGACGUCGUCAGCCGCAGAACGUUCUUCCUCUUGGUGUCGCUGUAGGAGAUGUCGAUCAAACAGGCUUUGAUGCUAAUUGGCAGCGGCUCUUCCACAGCCUGGCAGUUUACGUGAGCAUGGCCCUCCUUCUUGUCUUUAUAUAGGCAGAGAAAGUUUCCUCGUAAAACGGCAAAAAUCGGUUUCCACUGGCGCGUUCCUCCUCCAACACGCUGUAACAAUAGUUCACGAAGAAGGAAACACUUAAGAAUUUAACUUUGAGGUAUUUUCCAGUCACUAGGUCAAACUAGUCAAACGAGUCAAACAUACAGCAGAGAAAACAACUGCUCAAAGUGUGUGUGUGUAUUAAAACAAGGCCAAACAAACAAAUUUAGAAAAGCGCCAGUGCUUUAGUUGUGGUGAAGGCUGGUGUGGGUGGCGCCCACCUUGCCCUUGUCUGUGCUGAGCUGCUUGAAAUGCAGCAAACCCUCCUUGGUGGCGUCACAGAAGAUGUCGGAUGACGAAUCUCUCCUGGAACCCGAAUCCUCUGAUGACCUGUCCACAGCCUAGAUAGAGAUAAAACAGAACAGAGUCAUACGAGUGAUGUGGUCUUUUACUUAUAUUACUGAAGUGUAAUCCAAUAAAGCUUAGAGUGAUGGUACACAAACAACUAGAACCAAGCUGGUUGAACCAACCCAAAUCUGAUUCUGACUGACCUUUUUAAGACCUUUCAGUCCAGGUAUCAAAGACCUCCUACAUAACAGGGGAAAGCGGUAUUAGUUUGGGAUUAUAAUUAAGCCUUAGAAUAGAACUGCACUGAACAGCUGGGUCUGGGGGGGUCAUUUGCUUCCAGGCAAACUCUUGAUGUAUGCAAAAAUAGCUCAGCCCUAGGAUUUUAUUACAGCAAUGGUAUGACUUCAGCACUUGGCAAUAAACCAUCAAAUAUACAAUCAAGUCCUUCUUCACCACGCAUGAGUAGGACUCACCCUCUGCUUUCUGCCCGGUAGUUAUCCAGACCUUCAUCACAUGACCUGGACCGCUCAGAUUUUGUAACAGAGUCCGACUCAACAAUUGUGAGACGGAGCGAAUCUAUAAACAAACCAAGGAUUUCAAAGGAUUAUUUAAAAUUCUCCGUUGCCUUUAGCUUUCAAAUGAAUAGUCUUGGAAAGGAACAAAAACCUUGGUCGUGUGACAGUUGGCGUCGAAUAAGAGGUGACGGAGACGUGGGGCUAGGUGGGAUAGUGGUGAUGACAGGGGCUGCAGAUAUCACAGCAGAGGCAGGAAUGUGUGUGCUGUCCUGCUCAAUGCUGGGACUAGAUGGUUCAUCUGAGGACAGAAAACAGCAGCUGUGAAUUCACCAAUGUCUGUUCAACCAUUACGCUGCAUGUAAAGUAUUUUUAAACCCCCUUGUUUUCAUGCCUUUUAAAAAAAUAAAAAAUAUGUAAAAGUG